GGUAAAGCUUUCACAAUAUUCACAAUACAUAGAUAGGCCCUAGUACCCUUUACUGUGGGUUACAAUGACUAGGGCAUAUCACAUGAAUCAUUGAUAGUGCACUAGAAGUAAUAACUAGAAGUAAUAGGGUUAGGGUUACAAAGGCAAGGUGUAUCAGGUAGAAAAAGUUCAUGAUAGGUAAACAGGUCCUAGUACCCAUCCUUGGGGUUACAAUCACUAGGGGAUUUCAGCUGGAACAUCACACAUACACUAUAGGUAAACAGGUCCUAGUACCCAUCCUUGGGGUUACAAUCACUAGGGGAUAUCAGCUGGAACAUCACACAUACACUAUAGGUAAACAGGUCCUAGUACCCAUCCUUGGGGUUACAGUGACUAGGGGAUAUCAGCUGGAACAUCACACAUACACUAUAGGUAAACAGGCCCCUAGUACCCAUCCUUGGGGUUACAAUGGCAAGGUGUAUCAGGUGGAAAAGCAAGCAUUCACAACAAAAACAGCCCCUAGUAGCCAUACUUUAAGUCUUCUUAGCUUCCCAAAAUCUUGGAACCUAAGAGUAGCCCCGGUCAAACAGAGAACAGAGAAGUAACUCUGCACUGUUAUGUUGCUUACCAUACUUUUCCCUUCUACUCUGUUGUACGGUUCCACACAUGUAGAACCUUUAGAGCUUCCCAGGAGGACGACCAAAGAA
ensembl:lncRNA